rnacentral:rRNA from 1 species
CCUGGCUCAGGAUGAUCGCUAGCGGCAGGCUUAACACAUGCAAGUCGAGGGGCAGCGAGAUCAGUGCUUGCACUGAUUGUCGGCGACCGGCGCACGGGUGCGUAACGCGUAUGCAACCUACCCAUUACAGGGGGAUAACACUGAGAAAUCGGUACUAAUACCCCAUAACAUCCAGGGAGGCAUCUUCUUGGGUUGAAAACUCCGGUGGUAAUGGAUGGGCAUGCGUUGUAUUAGUUAGUUGGUGGGGUAACGGCUCACCAAGACCACGAUACAUAGGGGGACUGAGAGGUUAACCCCCCACAUUGGUACUGAGACACGGACCAAACUCCUACGGGAGGCAGCAGUGAGGAAUAUUGGUCAAUGGACGCAAGUCUGAACCAGCCAUGCCGCGUGCAGGAAGACGGCUCUAUGAGUUGUAAACUGCUUUUGUACGAGGGUAAACGCAGAUACGCGUAUCUGUCUGAAAGUAUCGUACGAAUAAGGAUCGGCUAACUCCGUGCCAGCAGCCGCGGUAAUACGGAGGAUUCAAGCGUUAUCCGGAUUUAUUGGGUUUAAAGGGUGCGUAGGCGGUCGGAUAAGUUAGAGGUGAAAUCCCGAGGCUCAACUUCGGAAUUGCCUCUGAUACUGUUUGGCUAGAGAGUAGUUGCGGUAGGCGGAAUGUAUGGUGUAGCGGUGAAAUGCUUAGAGAUCAUACAGAACACCGAUUGCGAAGGCAGCUUACCAAGCUACUUCUGACGUUGAGGCACGAAAGCGUGGGGAGCAAACAGGAUUAGAUACCCUGGUAGUCCACGCAGUUAACGAUGAUAACUCGUUGUCGGCGAUACAUUGUCGGUGACUAAGCGAAAGCGAUAAGUUAUCCACCUGGGGAGUACGUUCGCAAGAAUGAAACUCAAAGGAAUUGACGGGGGCCCGCACAAGCGGAGGAACAUGUGGUUUAAUUCGAUGAUACGCGAGGAACCUUACCCGGGCUUGAAAGUUAGUGACGGAUCUUGAAAGAGGUCUUCCCUUCGGGGCACGAAACUAGGUGCUGCAUGGUUGUCGUCAGCUCGUGCCGUGAGGUGUCGGGUUAAGUCCCAUAACGAGCGCAACCCCUACCGUUAGUUGCCAGCAGGUCAAGCUGGGCACUCUGACGGGACUGCCGGUGUAAGCCGAGAGGAAGGUGGGGAUGACGUCAAAUCAGCACGGCCCUUACGUCCGGGGCUACACACGUGUUACAAUGGCAGGUACAGAGGGCAGCUACCCAGCGAUGGGAUGCGAAUCUCGAAAGCCUGUCUCAGUUCGGAUUGGAGGCUGAAACCCGCCUCCAUGAAGUUGGAUUCGCUAGUAAUCGCGCAUCAGCCAUGGCGCGGUGAAUACGUUCCCGGGCCUUGUACACACCGCCCGUCAAGCCAUGGAAGCUGGGCGUGCCUGAAGUUCGUGACCGGAAGGAGCGACCUAGGGCAAAACCGGUGACUGGGGCUAAGU